UGGAUUACAUGGUCCAACGAUUUUUUCUCACUGGGCUCAAGCAACAACAUCUAUUUAUUUGUUUUGACUUCGUAACUAAUUGCCUGUGCGAUAUUAUUGGCGCUACUGAUUUCUGUAAUGGAAAAGUUUUCACUAAAAAUACUGUACAAAAGCGAAACCUGUGAUUUGAAGAUAAUACACAUUUCAGCUUAGUAUCUCGGAGUAAAUAUUAAAAACAAAACUGUGAAUAGGUACAUAGGAUGUACUCUGUAUGCACAUAACAGCAAAAUAUCAUGCAACUGAAGGCAAAAUGAUCAAGUAAAAGUGAAAAUUGAAAGUUAACAAAUAAGAGUUGUUUAUGCAUUGCAUGAUGCAAUCGGCUGACGCUGUGUGUUCAGCCCAAAUUCCUCGCUCUUCGCAUUUCUUUUGAUUGUUGGUAAAAAUCUGGGUUCCGCUGACACAACUCUCUUAACAUCGCAGACAAAUGUCGGUCUAUUUUCUAUCUACAUAGAAAUUUCAUCUCAAUUAUUCAAACUAUUUCUUCCAGUUCUCAUCUGCUUCUGAUGUAAAAUUUAGCAAGCGCAGUAUCAAAAUUGCAUCAUAAUUAUUUGGUAGUUUCCUUAUGCGCGCAAUACGCAAGCAGCAAAGUAUUUUUCCCCGAAUAUUUGAGAUAAAAUUAAAAAUAUAAUUACAGUUGAACAAACUGCAGUGCAGUGCACGUAAUGCAAAUAAAUAUUACAUAUGCGUAUGCAAUUAUCAGUGUAUAAAAAUAAUUUUAUUGAAACCAAAUUUAAAUAAUAAAUGAUUGUGUACCGUUAAGUAAACAGCACGUGCGUGUGCAAGUGAACCAAUGGUUGUGGAAA